GGCUCGGUAGUGGACGGUUUCCACACCCGCAAUUUGUGCAUCGUAACAAGCAGACUGUGAUGCGGGGAUCGCUCGUUCGACUCGGGCCCGAGCCA